GUAGUGGGAGCUACAGGGAUAGCCGAUACUCAAGUGAUAUGGGAUGGGCUCAAGGAAAUGAAAAUUAUUAUGCUACCCAAGACACUGAUCAUGGAUAUCGUCCUGGUAUAGAAGCUCAAAGAGAUUUUCUAAAUAGUUUAACAGAAUUUUCAAGUGAAGCCGAUGCUUCAAAUUUUUCAGAUACUAGGAGAUAUUCUGGAGUUCACGAACAUAUGCAAGACUUGAAUAUAGGUUAUUCCUAUGGAGAUUCUUCUCAUAGCUCGAGUAAUAGAUUGGGGAGACAGGAGUGGGACCAACCAAAUGCAUAUCAUAAUCCCUAUUACUCAGGAUACGGUUUAUCUAAUCUACCCAGACAUCUUCAGGAUUCAGCCAAUCUUCCUAUAUUUGGAUCCAACCAACCAGUUGGAACAUAUUACGGAGGGAUUACAUCUGGUUCGGGUAGUAUUGAUGAUCGUAGACAAAAUUAUGGUUCAUCAAGCAGAAGCAAUGAUAAUAGAGAAUAUCGAGGUUUUGAUGUAUAUGGAAGGGGUUCAUUCAGAGAAAAUCAAUAUGGUUCGAACAUCUCUCCUUAUCCAAGCAAUAUGAAUCCAGAUGAAAAUGAUUUUGAACCUCCACGACAUUCCACAUGGUAUUGAAUGAUGAUAAAGAUGAAAUCUUGACAUUGACGGACACAAGGCCGAUAUUUGACCGAUACACCGCGACCGAUACGCCGCGACGUAUCUGGAACGGUAAAGGCCGAUCCGCGACGCCGAUCCGCG